rnacentral:lncRNA from 1 species
CCAAGUCGAUCACUUUGAGUUUCGGGUGGCAAUGUGAGGAUUUUCUUUUCAAAAAGGCUCUCUAAGAGUUUUUGUAUAAAAUAUCAUGUUAGAAUGAAUUUAUUUGUGAAAAGCUUUUUUUAUAAUUACUCAUUCCAUUGCCAUUAGUGGAUGUUCGUUUCAUUAACUUUUUUAUUUAUUUCAAACAGUGGUUUUUAAAUUGGC